rnacentral:rRNA from 1 species
UACUGACACUGAGCUGCGAAAGCAAGGGGAGCAAACAGGAUUAGAUACCCUGGUAGUCCUUGCCGUAAACGAUGUCGAUUAGGUGUUGGGGGUGUCGAUCCCUCCAGCGCCGACGCUAACGCAUUAAAUCGACCACCUGGGGAGUACGGUCGCAAGACUGAAACUCAAAGAAAUUGACGGGGACCCGCACAAGCGGUGGAGCAUGUGGUUUAAUUCGAGGCUACGCGAAGAACCUUACCCAGGCUUGAAAAGCAGUUGACAUCCCAUGAAAGUGGGCCUUCUCGCAAGAGACAAUUGUACAGGUGCUGCAUGGCUGUCGUCAGCUCGUGCUGUGAAGUGUUGGGUUAAGUCCCGCAACGAGCGCAACCUUUGCCCUUAGUUGCCAUCAGGUAAUGCUGGGAACUCUAAGGGGACUGCCGGCGAAUAGCUGGAGGAAGGGGGAGAUGACGUCAAGUCAGUAUGGCCCUUAUGCCUGGGGCUACACACGUGCUACAAUGGCCGAGACAAAGGGCAGCAAACCCGCGAGGGGGAGCUAAUCCCAAAAAAACGGCCUCAGUUCAGAUUGGAGGCUGCAAUUCGCCUCCAUGAAGUCGGAAUCGCUAGUAACGGUAGAUCAGCUACGCUACCGUGAAUACGUUCCCGGGUCUUGUACACACCGCCCGUCAAGCCACCUGAGUCGAGAGCACCCGAAGUCGGUCACCUAACCUGCAAAGGAGGGAGCCGCCUAAGGUGAGAUCGGUAAGG